GGAAUGAGGUGGGGCGCACAGGGGGCUUGGAGGCCUGAAGGCGAGCUCGGCUUUGGACACGGUAGAUUUGCGGCUUCUGUAAAGCCGGCGGCCAGCCGAGGGGCAAGAAACGGCGCAAAGGGCCGAGACCAGAGGCCAGGUCUGUGGAGCUCUCAGAGCAGGAUCUUCGAGAGUCCACGCCGGAGCGCGACGCUGCGUGCGUUUCCGGAAGCCGCGCGCGCAGGCGCAGUGCGGGGGGCGCCCCCUGGCGGCGCAGGGACCGCCCCCAGCCUCGCGCCGCCGCCGCCCGCCUCAGCCCAACAUGGCGAUGCACAACAAGGCGGCGCCGCCGCAGAUCCCAGACACCCGGCGGGAGCUGGCGGAGCUCGUGAAGCGGAAGCAGGAGUUGGCGGAAACACUAGCAAACUUGGAGCGACAGAUCUAUGCUUUUGAGGGAAGCUACCUGGAAGACACACAGAUGUAUGGCAAUAUUAUUCGUGGCUGGGAUCGGUAUCUGACCAAUCAAAAAAACUCCAAUAGCAAAAAUGAUCGAAGGAACCGGAAGUUUAAGGAAGCUGAGCGGCUCUUCAGUAAAUCCUCAGUUACCUCAGCAGCUGCAGUAAGUGCAUUGGCAGGAGUUCAGGACCCGCUCAUUGAAAAGAGGGAGCCAGGAAGUGGGACAGAAAGUGACACGUCUCCAGACUUCCACAAUCAGGAAAACGAGCCUAGCCAGGAGGACCCUGAGGAUCUGGAUGGAUCUGUGCAGGGAGUGAAACCUCAGAAGGCUGCUUCCUCUACUUCCUCAGGGAGUCACCACAGCAGCCAUAAAAAGCGAAAGAAUAAAAACCGGCACAGCCCGUCUGGCAUGUUUGAUUAUGACUUUGAGUAUAUAUAUUAGGUUAGGCUGGGAAGUUUUUUUUAAAAACAGAAAAACGUGAUGGAGGAUUGAUCUGAAGUUAAACAAAAAACCACGAGCUGACUAUUAGAAGACACAUUAGCGCAGAAGCUUCCAGGCUGUAGAACCCUGCUUCCCUUCUCUGACCUCACAAAGAUAAACAUCCUUCACCUGAGUUCGUGGCCAUCCAUCUCUGCUCUCCUAGACCCAGUGCCUGUGACUUUGAGUAGUUUGUUUUAAAUGUGGUGACAAACAAGUCAUUUCUGUAAGACAUUGGAUCAUUUACUUGAUGUCAUUUUUAGUAACAGAACUGCAGGAAGAUCAAGACAUGGUUAUAAUUCCAACAAGUUGCUAACUGUGCAUUGCUCCCUUCUUAGAAUGAAUGUCUCCCCCCAGAAUGGCUGGCACCAUCUAUCUGCGAUACCAUCAAGAAAUGUUCUCUGGUUUUAUUUUAUGUUGAAAGUAGAACACAAAUCACAUUUCAGAUGGAGGCUGUAAAUAUCUGGCAUUGUCUUAUAUUGUUUUAUGUUUUCUUAUUUUUCUCUUGUUUUUGUCAUCUUAUUUUCUUUGGGGUCUUUGUGUAAUGCGUUUGUACAGCUCAUGCCUUCCUGCUGACAUAUCUGAUCAUCUCUUUCAUGCAGUUGCCAGUAUUCAUAACUGAAAAUAAUCUGGUUUAUCAUAAGUAAAAUGGGAAACUUGGCGCUCUGUUUUUGCAAGGGGAGGUCAAGAGUGUUUAUUUAGUAAUUACCUAUCUUAAAUCUGAGUUGGAAGCAGAUUCAUGUUCAAGGCACAGGAAAAAUGGAAAAACAUAAGUUUAAAUCCAUUAUUUUUAAAUAGCUGUUUUUAUUCUUUUGUAUAAAUAAAAUUUCACAGGCUUCAAAUUCUCAUGCUUUACUUUUUAAACCUGAGAUUGUUUUUUUCACUUAUUUUGUUUAUUCAUAUCAUGCCUUAUGGAAAUUUCCUUUUCUGUAUUUUCUCUCUUUGCUGGUAUUCACCUGAUUAUUGCUAAAAAUCACCAUGGUUGGCAUAUGGAAAGUCUCAUAAUUAUACCAAAAGUGAUAACUUACGAAGUUCUUAAGUGGAGUGAAAGGAGAGCAUCAGUGAGAGCCAUUGUUGCCAGCAGUGCUCCCUUUUGUGGAGGGCUUGAUGGGGCGAGGAACUUAAUUGUUAUGCCUUUAGUGCUUUGGUGAUCUACCUUGACUGCACAUUGAUCACCUGAACAACUUUAAAAUACUCAUGCUUGGAUUCCACCCCCAGAGACUGGGGCAUAGCCUAGUUAUUGGGAUUUUCUUUAGAAAAGUUCUUGGGAUUCUGAUAAGAAGCCAAGUUGAGAACCACUACAUGAGAACACAGAAUGGUUUAAUUUAAAUCCUAUGUUAUGAAUUGGUCUAAGGGAUAAGAUUUGGGGCCUACCCUUUCCUUUGAUUCUAGUCAGUCAUAGUCCUUGACUUUUGUCUAUAUCUUUGUAAGAAACAGUAUGUUUCAUUUGUGAUAAUAUUGGUAGAGCUGAAUAUGGAUGGCAUCUCCUGUAAAAACAAGUCCACCUUGUCAGAUGUGCAAAAGCUUUCACUCUUGUUCUCAAAUAAACUUUUGUGGGUUUUUUUUUUUUUUUUUUUUGACCGGCUAUUUAGAUGUCUUUGGUAGCAGAACUCCAAUGUCAGGAUUUUUAAGGGAAUAGUUUCUUAUAGUUAUAUUAUUCCUUAAAAAAAAAUUCCAGAAGCAUUCUGUAUCUUUUGUCUGUUGGUCUUUGCUGGGAGGGAGGAGUAGGAUGCCUGCAGUUUCCUUCCUUUUGAGGAAAGCACACAGCAGAUCUUAAAAUAUUUUUGACUUUUAUAGUUUGAGAUUGCUAGAGAUAGAAUAGUAGUGCUCUGUUGCACCACUGCACUCCAGCCUGGGUGACAGAGCAAGACUCUGUCUCAAAAAAAAAAAAAAAAAA